GAGAAAACAGUUUCUUCGCUCUACAAUGCAAUUGACGACGUAAAUUGCUUGAGAAGCGACAGAUCAAAAAAGAAAAACAAGAAACUGAAAUUCGAAAAGAAGUUACCUGAAGUGGAAAACACAGAAAGGCAGCUGAAAGAGACGAAGCGGGAUUCUUAUCGAACUCCUGUGAAGCAAAGGAUCAAAAGAAAUUCUUCAUUAUAAACU